AAGAAAGAAAUUUAAUUCUUUGCUACGGAAUCAGAAACAGCAAGAACCCACAGAUUGAUUACAAUUUUUUGUUGCAUGUUUUCCAAAACACAAAUUCAACUUGUGAGCGGGAAAGUAUACUUACGUCUUUAGGUUGUAUUUCGGAACCUAAAGUUCUUUUCAAUUAUCUUUUGGAACUCGUGACUGAUCAUUCAAUUAUUCCACACUCGUAUGCUUCGCUAGUUUUCGAAGCAGUUUAUUCAAACAAGGCCAGUGGCGUAGAUGUCACCUUAGACUUUUUGCUGCAAAAUAUCGAACUGCUUAUGGAAAAACACAGAAGAACAUUCAGCAUUUCUGAUUUUAUCAUAGGAUUAACUGACAAAAUUAAAACGGAAGAGCAACUGAAAAAGCUCCAAAACAUCGUCACAAAUAACCCCAAUUUGGACGAUUUAUCACUGGUCGGAGGCAAAAUGAUAACCAGAAUCAAGUACAACUUAGAGUGGACAGAAAUGUACACUGAAGUGAUAAAAGAAGCUCUGCCAAAAACAUCAAACGCUGUAGGAGCACAAUCAAACACUUUCGUUUUCACUUCAGCAUGUGUAUUAUCGUGUGUUUAUUUAUACUUAUUAAAAUAAUUUUUAAUCUCAAAAGA